GCUGGCGUAGCUCAGCAGGUAGAGCAGGUCAUUCGUAAUGAUCAGGUCGGAGGUUCAAUUCCUCUCGCCAGCU
rnacentral:tRNA from 1 species